GUGGGGAAUAUUGGGCAAUGGAGGCAACUCUGACCCAGCCAUGCCGCGUGGGUGACGAAGGUCUUCGGAUUGUAAAGCCCUUUCGGCGGGGACGAUGAUGACGGUACCCGCAGAAGAAGCCCCGGCUAACUUCGUGCCAGCAGCCGCGGUAAUACGAAGGGGGCUAGCGUUGUUCGGAAUUACUGGGCGUAAAGGGCGUGUAGGCGGCCCGCUAAGUCAGGUGUGAAAGGCCUGGGCUCAACCCAGGAAAUGCGCCUGAGACUGACGGGCUUGAAUCCGGGAGAGGAUGGUGGAACUCCCAGUGUAGAGGUGAAAUUCGUAGAUAUUGGGAAGAACACCCGUGGCGAAGGCGGCCAUCUGGACCGGUAUUGACGCUAAGGCGCGACAGCGUGGGGAGCAAACAGGAUUAGAAACCCUUGUAGUCC
rnacentral:rRNA from 1 species